GCUGCAGCUCAGUGUCAGAGCACUUGCCUGUCAUGCACGAGGCCCUGGGUUCGAUCCCUAGCACCAUGCA
rnacentral:tRNA from 1 species